AUUGAACGCUGGCGGCAUGCCUUACACAUGCAAGUCGAACGGCAGCACGGGGGCAACCCUGGUGGCGAGUGGCGAACGGGUGAGUAAUGCAUCGGAACGUGUCCUCUUGUGGGGGAUAACCAGUCGAAAGACUGGCUAAUACCGCAUGAGAUCGAAAGAUGAAAGCGGGGGACCGCAAGGCCUCGCGCGAGAGGAGCGGCCGAUGCCGGAUUAGCUAGUUGGUGGGGUAAUGGCCCACCAAGGCGACGAUCCGUAGCUGGUCUGAGAGGACGACCAGCCACACUGGGACUGAGACACGGCCCCAGACUCCUACGGGAGGCAGCAGUGGGGAAUUUUGGACAAUGGGCGCAAGCCUGAUCCAGCCAUGCCGCGUGUGUGAAGAAGGCCUCGGGUUGUAAAGCACUUUCGGACGGAACGAAAUCGCGCGCAUGAACAAUGCGCGUGGAUGACGGUACCGUAAGAAGAAGCACCGGCUAACUACGUGCCAGCAGCCGCGGUGAUACGUAGGGUGCAAGCGUUAAUCGGAAUUACUGGGCGUAAAGGGUGCGCAGGCGGCCCCGCAUGUCAGGCGUGAAAUCCCCGGGGCUCAACCUGGGAAUGGCGCUUGAAACUACGGGGCUGGAGUGUGGCAGAGGGAGGUGGAAUUCCACGUGUAGCGGUGAAAUGCGUAGAUAUGUGGAGGAACACCGAUGGCGAAGGCAAGCCUCCUGGGCCAACACUGACGCUCAUGCACGAAAAGCGUGGGGGAGCAAACAGGAUUAGAUACCCUGGUAG
rnacentral:rRNA from 1 species